GGUCCAUGGGAAUUAAUCAAGUGCUUUAUUUUCACAACUGGAUACAGAGAGAAAACCAGUAUUGCACAAUCGGAUGUUACAGCGCUAAUACAAAUAUGUGCUAACAACACAAAAUUGAGAAACGCGUUCAGCACAGAUUUUGUUCACCUUGAUAAGAUACGACAAGUUCGCAAUGACAUAUGUCAUUCUGGAGAAAUGAAAUUGUGUGAAAAAGAUCUCCAAGGUUUCAUUGACGAUAUGAAACGUGCUUUACAGUUAUCGAUAUUUGCCAAAACUCAGUCGGCUAAAGAACAGCUGAGGAAGCUGACAAAAUUGGAAAAGGACAAAAUUAGAAUAACAACAAAAAACGAAAUUGAAGCAAGGGAAGAUACAUUGAAAGCACUUGAAGAUUCGAAAAUGGAGUUAGAUAUUUUAUUUAGUCAAGGACAAAGCACUGAGCAACAAAUAAAACACCUGACAAUGGUAGAAAACAUGCAUGCUAAAACACUUGAGAAAAGAUACAGCGAAUUAGUGGAGCACAUAGAGCGGUUAUACAUGGAAAUAAAUGAAACAACCAAACACGUUUUAGAACACAAAGAUAUAUUAAAGGAAUUUAAAAUUGAUCUUGAUGUUGAAUUAAAUAAAAUA